rnacentral:rRNA from 1 species
ACAAAUGCAGUCGAACGGUGGCAGGAGUAAGCUUGCUGCUUCGCUGACGAGUGGCGGACGGGUGAGUAAUGUCUGGGAAACUGCCUGAUGGAGGGGGAUAACUACUGGAAACGGUGGCUAAUACCGCAUAACGUCGCAAGACCAAAGAGGGGGACCUUCGGGCCUCUUGCCAUCAGAUGUGCCCAGAUGGGAUUAGCUUGUUGGUGAGGUAACGGCUCACCAAGGCGACGAUCCCUAGCUGGUCUGAGAGGAUGACCAGCCACACUGGAACUGAGACACGGUCCAGACUCCUACCGGAGGCAGCAGUGGGGAAUAUUGCACAAUGGGCGCAAGCCUGAUGCAGCCAUGCCGCGUGUAUUAACAAGGCCUUCGGGUUGUAAAGUACUUUCAGCGGGGAGGAAGGUGUUGUGGUUAAUAACCACCUGUAUUGACAGUUACCCG